AAUUAGCGGAUGACUUGUGGCUGGGGGUGAAAGGCCAAUCAAACCGGGAGAUAGCUGGUUCUCCCCGAAAGCUAUUUAGGUAGCGCCUCGUGAAUUCAUCUCCGGGGGUAGAGCACUGUUUCGGCAAGGGGGUCAUCCCGACUUACCAACCCGAUGCAAACUGCGAAUACCGGAGAAUGUUAUCACGGGAGACACACGGCGGGUGCUAACGUCCGUCGUGAAGAGGGAAACAACCCAGACCGCCAGCUAAGGUCCCAAAGUCAUGGUUAAGUGGGAAACGAUGUGGGAAGGCCCAGACAGCCAGGAUGUUGGCUUAGAAGCAGCCAUCAUUUAAAGAAAGCGUAAUAGCUCACUGGUCGAGUCGGCCUGCGCGGAAGAUGUAACGGGG
rnacentral:rRNA from 1 species